GAGGAAUAUUGGUCAAUGGGCAAGAGCCUGAACCAGCCAAGUAGCGUGCAGGAUGACGGCCCUAUGGGUUGUAAACUGCUUUUGUAUGGGGAUAAAGUCAAUCACGUGUGAUUGUUUGCAGGUACCAUACGAAUAAGGACCGGCUAAUUCCGUGCCAGCAGCCGCGGUAAUACGGAAGGUCCGGGCGUUAUCCGGAUUUAUUGGGCUUAAAGGGAGCGUAGGCUGGAGAUUAAGUGUGUUGUGAAAUGUAGACGCUCAACGUCUGACUUGCAGCGCAUACUGGUUUCCUUGAGUACGCACAACGUUGGCGGAAUUCGUCGUGUAGCGGUGAAAUGCUUAGAUAUGACGAAGAACUCCGAUUGCGAAGGCAGCUGACGGGAGCGCAACUGACGCUGAAGCUCGAAGGUGCGGGUAUCGAACAGGAUUAGAUACCCUGGUAGUCCGCACAGUAAACGAUGGAUGCCCGCUGUUGGUACCUGGUAUCAGCGGCUAAGCGAAAGCAUUAAGCAUCCCACCUGGGGAGUACGCCGGCAACGGUG
rnacentral:rRNA from 1 species